rnacentral:rRNA from 1 species
AUUGAACGCUGGCGGCAGGCCUAACACAUGCAAGUCGAACGAGUGGCGGACGGGUGAGUAAUGUCUGGGAAACUGCCUGAUGGAGGGGGAUAACUACUGGAAACGGUAGCUAAUACCGCAUACCAUCGGAUGUGCCCAGAUGGGAUUAGCUAGUAGGUGGGGUAAAGGCUCACCUAGGCGACGAUCCCUAGCUGGUCUGAGAGGAUGACCAGACACACGGAAAAUGAGACAGGGUCCAGACUCCUACGGGAGGCAGCAGGGGGGAAUAUUGCACAAUGGGCGAAAGCCUGAUGCAGCCAUGCCGCGGGUAUUAAGAAGGCCUUCGGGUUGUAAAGUACUUUAAGCGGGGAGGCGUUACCCGCAGAAGAAGCACCGGCUAACUCCGUGCCAGCAGCGGCGGGAAUAC